rnacentral:ncRNA from 2 species
UUAAAAAGUAGAGGUCGCAGGAUUUAUUAAGCUUAUGGAGUCAAGCAAGACGUGGAAGUAAGUCUAGGAAAUACUGCCGAAACCAUUCUUUAUUGCUUGAAAGAAUGUGUUGGGGUGCAAGUGAAUAAUUUGCACACUGUCUUAGUUUUCUAAGAUGAGCUAUGUUUAGU